rnacentral:rRNA from 1 species
UACGUAGGGCGCAAGCGUUGUCCGGAAUUAUUGGGCGUAAAGAGCUCGUAGGCGGCUUGUCACGUCGGGUGUGAAAACUCGGGGCUCAACCCCGAGCCUGCUUCUGAUACGGGCAGACUGGAGGUAUGCAGGGGAGAACGGAAUUCCUGGUGUAGCGGUGAAAUGCGCAGAUAUCAGGAGGAACACCGGUGGCGAAGGCGGUUCUCUGGGCAUUACCUGACGCUGAGGAGCGAAAGUGUGGGGAGCGAACAGG